AUGAGGGAAAUGGACACAGUUAAAUCCAGUAAUCCAUCAAAAGGACCGGAACUGAGCAAUGUCAUGGCCCCAGAGGAAACUGCCGCCGGUGACAAGAGUGACAGACAGCGGGAGGAGGAGAAAGAGGCAGACACCGACACUCCUGAUGGAGUCGUUGCAGUACUAUCAGUCGGUCAGAGGAGGGCACGAGAGAAACACAGAUACAACACUGUAGGCUACCAGAAAAAGAAGCAGAGGACAGCUGUGGACUUUUCUACAGUGAGCAAGGGAACAUCUGCCGGGGUGAAGAGCAGAGGUGCAUUAAAGCAGGCACUUUUUAGCCAGGGAGUGUCUGACAAAAUGGCACAUUUGAGGAACGAUCAGGUGGUGUACAGGGGCAGGUGGACGCGUUGA
rnacentral:lncRNA from 1 species